UACAGAGGUCUCAAGCGUUGUUCGGAUUCAUUGGGCGUAAAGGGUGCGUAGGCGGCGCGGUAAGUCGGAUGUGAAAUCUUGGAGCUUAACUCCGAAACUGCAUUCGAUACUGCCGUACUUGAGGACUGGAGAGGAGACUGGAAUUUACGGUGUAGCGGUGAAAUGCGUAGAUAUUGGGAAGAACACCGGUGGCGAAGGCGGCUCUCUGGACCGAGACUGACGCUGAGGCGCGAAAGCGUGGGGAGCAAACAGG
rnacentral:rRNA from 1 species